rnacentral:rRNA from 1 species
UACGAAGGGGGCUAGCGUUGUUCGGAAUUACUGGGCGUAAAGCGCGCGCAGGCGGCUAUCCAAGUCAGUGGUGAAAGCCCGGAGCUCAACUCCGGAACUGCCAUUGAAACUGUUUAGCUUGAGGACGAGAGAGGUGAGUGGAAUUCCCAGUGUAGAGGUGAAAUUCGUAGAUAUUGGGAGGAACACCAGUGGCGAAGGCGGCUCACUGGACCGGUACUGACGCUGAUGCGCGAAAGCGUGGGGAGCAAACGGG